GAUGAACGCUGGCGGCGUGCCUAAUACAUGCAAGUCGAGCGAACGGACGAGAAGCUUGCUUCUCUGAUGUUAGCGGCGGACGGGUGAGUAACACGUGGAUAACCUACCUAUAAGACUGGGAUAACUUCGGGAAACCGGAGCUAAUACCGGAUGAUAUUUUGAACCGCAUGGUUCAAAAGUGAAAGACGGUCUUGCUGUCACUUAUAGAUGUAUCCGCGCUGCAUUAGCUAGUUGGUAAGGUAACGGCUUACCAAGGCAACGAUGCAUAGCCGACCUGAGAGGGUGAUCGGCCACACUGGAACUGAGACACGGUCCGGACUCCGACGGGAGGCAGCAGUAGGGAAUCUUCCGCAAUGGGCGAAAGCCUGACGGAGCAACGCCGCGUGAGUGAUGAAGGUCUUCGGAUCGUAAAACUCUGUUAUUAGGGAAGAACAUAUGUGUAAGUAACUGUGCACAUCGUGACGGUACCUAAUCAGAAAGCCACGGCUAACUACGUG
rnacentral:rRNA from 1 species